AAAAGAUCUAACGUCAGGUCUCGGCGAGCUGGUACGAAAGGGGAGAAAAGUCCUGUGGGCCAAAGGACUGUGCCAACCUCUCCAGGAUUCUGGAAUGGCUGUGCUGGACUUUGAGGACAAGGCUAUCACCGGGGUCUCCCGGCCUGUUCCCAUGUUGGUUCCCCACUGGGAUGCAGUGGCAGCCCUCAUACCCCAAAGGAGAGGAGUUGUGGAGACAGAGAACAGAAGCUGCUACAGGGUGAUUUCCAGAAUCCGCUCUUUCCCCGGAGGCCAGUCAUCCCCUGAAGACGGUGGUGUCCCCCGCCCUCCUCAGCUCUGCCACUCUCCUCCCCACCCUGCCUGAGGAAACGGGGAAGACACAGACUUGGAAACAACUCCCCGGGCAUUUUCUGACAGCAGAAUUCUAAUCAGGCCUCUCGCCUGCUCAACAGCCCUCAAUGAUUCCCCAGGGCCCCACCAAUCAAGUCCCAAACUUCUCACUAGGCCUGGCACACGAGCUUGUCUCUUCUAUGUCCCCUCGUGUCUGCGGGUAUUCAGCACAGUCCUACUUGCUCAGAAGUCCGCCCCCAGUUGACUCUCCCAUGUCUCCUCACCCAAAUACUUUGGGCCACGCCAUUUCCUUCACCUAGAAUAUUCUUCCCGCCCCGCCUACCUGUCCUUCAACUCCUAUCCCAGAGGCCACUGCUUCCAAGAAGACUUCCCAGAAGCCCCACUCCACCCCGAGUCUAGAAAGCCAGCUCCCUCCCCUGGAGGCCUGUAACUCUCAGUGUACCCCACUCCACCCUGCAUGAGUAGGCCACAGCUGCCAGUCGUCAGCCGUGGGAAAUACCUGGGGCUUUGGAGCUCUGCUCUAUGCUGUCAUUUACCAGCUUUGUGUCCUGGUUAAAGUGACUGAGCCU
rnacentral:lncRNA from 1 species